UCUAAUAUUAUGGGACGGAGG
rnacentral:miRNA from 1 species